ensembl:snRNA U6 U6 spliceosomal RNA
GUACUAAACACAUUUUUAAAAAUUGAAAUAAUACAGAAAAGACUGGCAAGCCUCUGAACAAGGACAUGCAAACUCAUGUAGUAUUCCUUGAUUUU